rnacentral:piRNA from 1 species
UUAUACCUACCUGACUAUGCUAGAAUGUU